AGAGUUUGAUCAUGGCUCAGGAUGAACGCUAGCGGCAGGCUUAACACAUGCAAGUCGAGGGGCAGCGCGGGGCGGCAACGUCCUGGCGGCGACCGGCGGAAGGGUGCGUAACGCGUGAGCGACAUGCCCGUUGCCCGGGGACAACCGGUGGAAACGCCGACUAAUCCCCGAUGGGAUACGAUGCUUCAUGGCAUUGUAUUGAAAGUUACGGCGGCGACGGAUUGGCUCGCGUCCGAUUAGCUUGUUGGCGGGGUAACGGCCCACCAAGGCUACGAUCGGUAGGGGUUCUGAGAGGAAGGCCCCCCACAAUGGGACUGAGACACGGCCCAUACUCCUACGGGAGGCAGCAGUGAGGAAUAUUGGUCAAUGGGCGGAAGCCUGAACCAGCCAUGCCGCGUGCGGGAAGGAGGCCCUAUGGGCUGUGAACCGCUUUUGCCUGGGGGCAAUAAGGGCGUCGCGCACGUCCGAUGAGAGUACCAGGCGAAUAAGCAUCGGCUAACUCCGUGCCAGCAGCCGCGGUAAUACGGGGGAUGCGAGCGUUAUCCGGAUUCAUUGGGUUUAAAGGGUGCGUAGGCUGUGCGUCAAGUCGGGGGUGAAAUUCCGGUGCUCAACACCGGGGCUGCCCUUGAUACUGUCGCGCUGGAGUGCGGAUGCCGCCGGAGGAAUGAGUGGUGUAGCGGUGAAAUGCUUAGAUAUCACUCAGAACACCGAUUGCGAAGGCAUCUGGCGAAUCCGUAACUGACGCUGAGGCACGAAAGCGUGGGGAUAGAACAGGAUUAGAUACCCUGGUAUUCCACGCCGUAAACGAUGAUGGCUAACCGCCGGCGACACACUGUCGGUGGCCAAGCGAAAGCGAUAAGCCAUCCACCUGGGGAGUACGUCGGCAACAAUGAAACUCAAAGGAAUUGACGGGGACCCGCACAAGCGGUGGAGCAUGUGGUUUAAUUCGAAGCAACGCGAAGAACCUUACCUGCUCUUGACAUCCCAUUCGAUAGAAGGUAAUGCUUCUAGCCCUUCGGGGGAAUGGAGACAGGUGGUGCAUGGUUGUCGUCAGCUCGUGUCGUGAGAUGUUGGGUUAAGUCCCGCAACGAGCGCAACCCUUAUUGUCAGUAGCCAGCAGGUGAAGCUGGGCACUCUGAUGAGACUGCCGGGGAUAACCCGGAGGAGGGUGGGGAUGACGUCAAAUCAUCAUGCCCCUUAUGAGCAGGGCUACACACGUGCUACAAUGGCGUAAACAGAGGGAAGCGAAGGAGUGAUCUGGAGCAAAUCUCAAAAAUAACGUCUCAGUUCGGAUUGUUGUCUGCAACUCGACUACAUGAAGCUGGAAUCGCUAGUAAUCGCAGAUCAGAAUGCUGCGGUGAAUACGUUCCCGGGUCUUGUACACACCGCCCGUCACACCAUGGGAGUCGGUAAUGCCCGAAGUCAGUGACUCAACCAUAAAGGAGAGAGCUGCCGAAGGCAGGACUGGUAACUGGGGUGAAGUCGUAACAAGGUA
rnacentral:rRNA from 1 species